GGCCCAAAUCUGAAGUGGGAUAGAUUAGUAAGCUCAACUGAUCCUACUGUUCUACUAUACAUCAAAAUUGGGCCC
rnacentral:pre_miRNA from 1 species